GGGGUGUGCUCAGAGCAGGGAGCCUGAAGAAUGGCUCCUGUGUUUUAUAACACACCCAAAAGGAAUCUGUGGUUAUUGUGAGGAGGAACACAAAAUGUGUGGCCUUCUGAACAAAUGCCCUUCAUGU
rnacentral:snoRNA from 1 species